UAAGACGAACCGUGCGAACGUUGUUCGGAAUCACUGGGCUUAAAGGGCGCGUAGGCGGAUCAGCAAGUCCGGGGUGAAAUCCUUCGGCUUAACCGGAGAAGUGCCUUGGAUACUGCUGGUCUCGAGGGAGGUAGGGGUCAUUGGAACUUCUGGUGGAGCGGUGAAAUGCGUUGAUAUCAGAAGGAACGCCGGUGGCGAAAGCGAAUGACUGGAUCUCUUCUGACGCUGAGGCGCGAAAGCUAGGGGAGCGAACG
rnacentral:rRNA from 1 species